rnacentral:rRNA from 1 species
UACGAGGGGGGCAAAUGUUGUUCGGAAUCACUGGGCGUAAAGGGAGCGUAGGCGGGUUUUUAAGUCAGGUGUUUAAUCCCGGGGCCCAACCCCGGACAGGCACUUGAAACUGGGAAUCUUGAAUAGUGGAGAGGUCAGUGGAAUUGGGGGUGGUAGCGGUGGAAUGCGUAGAGAUCCCCAAGAACACCCGUUGCGAAAGGCGGCUGACUGGACACAUAUUGACGCUGAGGCUCGAAAGCGUGGGGAGCAAACAGGG